AACGAACGCUGGCGGCAGGCUUAACACAUGCAAGUCGAACGGUUGUAGCAAUACAGCAGUGGCAGACGGGUGAGUAACACGUGGGAACCUUCCUAGGGGUACGGAACAACUCAGGGAAACUUGAGCUAAUACCGUAUACGUCCGUAAGGAGAAAGAUUUAUCGCCCUUAGACGGGCCCGCGUCGGAUUAGGUAGUUGGUGGGGUAACGGCCUACCAAGCCAACGAUCCGUAGCUGAUCUGAGAGGAUGAUCAGACACACUGGGACUGAGACACGGCCCAGACUCCUACGGGAGGCAGCAGUGGGGAAUCUUGGACAAUGGGCGCAAGCCUGAUCCAGCCAUGCCGCGUGAGUGAAGAAGGCCUUAGGGUUGUAAAGCUCUUUUGGCAGGGACGAUAAUGACGGUACCUGCAGAAUAAGCCCCGGCAAACUUCGUGCCAGCCGCCGCCGUAAGAC
rnacentral:rRNA from 1 species